rnacentral:lncRNA from 1 species
GGGAAGGAUAUAUCCUGGCCCAGUGGCAAUGAAGCCAAUGGUUUGGGGUCUGGGAGGAAGAUGGAUGGCUGUGGCUUCCUCAUGUGCACUCUGUCGGGGAAUGGAUCCCACAUGUAGGAGUAGCCAAUCUCACCAGCAUCCCCACCAGCCAUCACCUUACUGGGAAGCUGCCAUCUGAUUUGAGAAUGCAUUCACAUCUCCUCUGAUGCUCCCGUCCUCACAUCUAGGAAGUGAAUUGAGAAAAGAACAACAAUGAACAAAAUCCCUCCCACCGACAAGAUCACAGAACCAUGAGAAUCCUUCAUAAAGUACCUGGCAGCCAGGACAAAAGUAGUAGCUUGUGGAGGGAACACUGUUGGACUCCAAUGUUACACACUCACACCAGAGUUUGCAGACUAUUCAGGAAGGAGGAAAUCAACUGAUGAACAAAUUAAACGGAUUUUUUUUAAGGGGAAAAUAACUCUUAGAAAUAAGGUUUCUGAAGCAAGAAACAAAUAUCCUUACUUGGAUCUGAUCAGAGCCAAAGGGACCUAGAGCAGAGGCAGGACCUGGCUAGUCCAGAAGACAGUCCCUGAACUCCACUGGCUGAAGAUACUGGCCUGCUCCCAGGUUAGGAGGAACUGGCACCUGCAACAUCAAUGUAUCUUUUAGAGGUCGUCUUUCCCAGGUAUGGACUAAGAACUGAUUUUUUAACCAAGUAUGGUUUCUAUUAUUUUUAUCACACCCUCCUGUCAUCUUCAUAAACUUCUGGGUUAAAAGUUCUCCUUGGGUUUAAUUCUCUAUGGAUAGAUUUGCCAAAUUUGCCUGGCUUUCAGAAUCAUUCUAGCGACCAGAGUAGGAAGCACAAUUCAAUAGGGAAUCACUUCCUUUUCAUCCGCAAGUCCCCAGCGUCUAGCACAGUGCCUGGCACACUCCGAGUGUUUGGUGGUAUACAUAAACUUCUGAGCCGAUCCCAGCGUUUCUUGGCAACUUCUCCUCUGCUCUUCUGAAGCUUUUCCGCUCCUGGCAUGCGAGUCUGUUUAACAGCCCCUGAAGGUAUCUGGCUUACUCUUACUACUUCAUGCCUCAAUCUGAAGUAAUGUUCCCUUGUUCCCUUCUCUUUCUCUGCUCUCCAAAUGGAACAUUCCCAUAAAUCUUGCUCAGAACUCAGAUUCUCUGGGGAACUACCUUGAUGGUUUAGUAUCCUUUUUCUUUUGGGCUCGUUAGUGACUAUGCAGUGCCACAAAG